ACUCCUACGGGGAGGCAGCAGUGGGGGAAUAUUGCACAAUGGGCGCAAGCCUGAUGCAGCCAUGCCGCGUGUAUGAAGAAGGCCUUCGGGUUGUAAAGUACUUUCAGCAGUGAGGAAGGUGGGUAUGUUAAUAGCAUAUUCAUUUGACGUUAGCUGCAGAAGAAGCACCGGCUAACUCCGUGCCAGCAGCCGCGGUAAUACGGAGGGUGCGAGCGUUAAUCGGAAUUACUGGGCGUAAAGCGCAUGCAGGUGGUUUGUUAAGUCAGAUGUGAAAGCCCGGGGCUCAACCUCGGAAUUGCAUUUGAAACUGGCAAACUAGAGUACUGUAGAGGGGGGUAGAAUUUCAGGUGUAGCGGUGAAAUGCGUAGAGAUCUGAAGGAUACCGGUGGCGAAGGCGGCCCCUGGACAGAUACUGACACUCAGAUGACGG
rnacentral:rRNA from 1 species